rnacentral:rRNA from 1 species
UACGAAGGGGGCUAGCGUUGCUCGGAAUUACUGGGCGUAAAGAGUGUGUAGGCGGUGCUCCAAGUCUGGUGUGAAAUCUCCCGGCUUAACUGGGAGGGUGCAUUAGAAACUGGAAUGCUAGAGGAUGGGAGAGGUAAGCGGAAUUCCUGGUGUAGCGGUGAAAUGCGUAGAUAUCAGGAGGAACACCUGUGGUGUAGACAGCUUACUGGACCAUUUCUGACGCUGAGACACGAAAGCGUGGGGAGCGAACAGG